AAUGGAGAGGCAGGCGGGUAAACACGUGACAGCACGUCCUCAUCCAUCUCACCCACUGGAUCUCGCGCUGUGGGACUUCGGACUUUUCAUCAAAGUCAAAGUGACCAUGAAGCUUGGGUGUUGAGAAGAGGAGUUCAAAUAAUAAAAAGAAAUACUCUUUCAGUUCACACAGUUGAUGGACAUCUUUAGAAAAAAGACAAACUGGCAAUGGCCAGAACAACUGGACAGAAACACAGGUGCAUCCCCAGCUGUCACCCUGGAGCCUUCUACAGCAGACAAGCACUGUGUUAGACAAUGUGUUUACAACACGUAACACCUUUAGUGCUUUCAUCAUAUCUUCAAAAAGUUACAGUAUUUUAAUAACAUCACUUUAUGACUCAGUUUUGACUAUAAGGGUAAUACACUGGAGUAAAACUUUAUCUUCCCU
rnacentral:lncRNA from 1 species